rnacentral:rRNA from 1 species
AUUGAACGCUGGCGGCAUGCCUUACACAUGCAAGUCGAACGGUAACGCGGGGCAACCUGGCGACGAGUGGCGAACGGGUGAGUAAUGUAUCGGAACGUGCCCAGUUGUGGGGGAUAACUGCUCGAAAGAGCAGCUAAUACCGCAUACGACCUGAGGGUGAAAGCGGGGGAUCGCAAGACCUCGCGCAAUUGGAGCGGCCGAUAUCAGAUUAGGUAGUUGGUGGGGUAAAGGCUCACCAAGCCAACGAUCUGUAGCUGGUCUGAGAGGACGACCAGCCAAACGGGGACUGAGACACGGCCCGGACUCCUACGGGAGGCAGCAGUGGGGAAUUUUGGACAAUGGACGCAAGUCUGAUUCAGCCAUGCCGCGUGCGGGAAGAAGGCCUUCGGGUUGUAAACCGCUUUUGUCAGGGAAGAAACGCUCUGGGUUAAUACCUCGGGGUAAUGACGGUACCUGAAGAAUAAGCACCGGCUAACUACGUGCCAGCAGCCGCCGUAACAC